rnacentral:rRNA from 1 species
GCUCAGAAACUUAAAGGAAGUUGACGGGGCCCGCGACAAGCGGUGGAGUAUGUGGUUUAAUUCGAUGCAACGCGAAGAACCUUACCUGGUCUUGACAUCCCGGAGACCCUUAGGAAACUAGGGGUGCUUCCAUCUGGAAGAAUCUGGAGACAGGUGCUGCAUGGCUGUCGUCAGCUCGUGUCGUGAGAUGUUGGGUUAAGUCCCGCAACGAGCGCAACCCUUGCCUUUAGUUGCCAGCAGUUCGGCUGGGCACUCUAAAGGGACUGCCGGUGUUAAACCGGAGGAAGGUGGGGAUGACGUCAAGUCCUCAUGGCCUUUAUGACCAGGGCUACACACGUACUACAAUGGCCGAUACAAAGGGCAGCGACACUGCGAGGUGAAGCCAAUCCCGUAAAAUCGGUCUCAGUCCGGAUUGGAGUCUGCAACUCGACUCCAUGAAGUUGGAAUCGCUAGUAAUCGUGGAUCAGCAUGCCACGGUGAAUACGUUCCCGGGCCUU